AAGAAAUGGGCUACAUUUUCUUCUAAAGACCACACGAAUGACAAAAUGAAAUUACAUCUGAAGGCGGAUUUGGCAGUAAGGCUGGAUAAUCAUACCACCCUUAACCUUGGCCCUGAGGCGCGCACACACCGCCCGUCACCCUCGUCAUUAUCUUAUUUUACCUUAAAUAAAACUUUAUUGAGACACUCAGACGAGGUAAGUCGUAACAAGGUAAGCGCACUGGAAAGUGCUCUUGGAAUAC
rnacentral:rRNA from 1 species